rnacentral:lncRNA from 1 species
AAAGAAGCCCUGAAGACACAGGUGCGCCAGAGCCUGCUGCCACUCUUCUUCCACUGCCAUGAUGAGAAUCGGCGUGUGGCACAGGUGAGGACUCGUGGGCUGCUGCUGUUCCCCAGGGAGGGCCUCGGCUGGCUCCUGCCCUGGCGCCUCGUGGACUGCAGCCUCCUCCAGCCUUGGCACAGGGACGGGGUCCUGCGCCCUGGGCUGUGGGGCCAUCUCCGUGUCUCUGCUGCUCUCCAGGCUUCUCAGGAAACGCUGCUUUGUGCGGCCGAGUUCCUGAAGACGAGGGACCUUGAAACACUGGUGAAGAGCAAGAAGCUGUGGAAGUUCACCGAGUGGCUGCUGGCAGACGACAGGAGCAGAGUGGCCGAGCACCUGCGCCGGGCCCUGCCGUACCUGCAGAACCUACAGGAGCCCCUGCGAGAGGCGGCCGUCAGGUUCAUGGGGAUGGCCGCGCGGCACCUGAGGGGGAGGAAGGAAGAGCUCCAGCUCAUCUGCGAGGGUGAGUGAGGGCAGCCGGCUGCCAGCGGGGGCUGCCGGGGAGCUGCGAGCCCUGCCCCGGCUGCGGAGGGCUCUGCUCCCCGUGCGGACCAGGGGCGGCGGGGGCAGAGCACACAGAGGUUUCAGGGCGCCUGGGGGUUCGUGGCCAGCAGCUUCGGGCUGAUCCCGUUGGUCCCUGCUCCCUGCUGGCCAUGGCCAGAGCCGGCUGGGCUGGCCCUGGCACGGGGGUCUCCUCGGGUCCCCUCAGAUGCGGGAACUGACCGUGGCUCUGUUCCUCUCUCUUUCAGCCCUUGACGGCAUGGCAAAUGACAUCAGCAUCACCGUUGGAAGCCUGGCAAUUCAAACAUUGUACGUCCUGCAGGCAGUAGACAGAGCUCGAUAUUCCAUCUUCGACAACCUGCAUGAUCAGCUCUGCAGGGCAUGGAGGAGAUGGUCUCGUCUGCCGGGGCUCGGCCGGCUGUGCUGCUGGAGAUCUGCAGAGGGCUGAUCCCAGAGGCUCUGUCUGCUGGGGCCACCUGAGCCAGCAGGAAUGUUUCAUUUCUUCAGGGUUGUUCUUUCCUUCUUUUUGUUUGUCUUUAGCAUAUAAAUAUAAGAUGUGUUGUAUUAGACAGACUCCCAGGAUCUUUCUUUUGCUGCCCAGGCUCUGCAGGGCCUAGGGGAAGAGGGAGAAAAGGGUUCCUGGGCUCAGCAAGCUGCCCAGGCAUGCAGCAUAGCAGGGAAAAUGACCAGAAGCCCCGUGGCCUUUGGUGGUUCUGCUGAAGCCUUU